UACGGGGGGAGCAAGCGUUGUUCGGAUUUACUGGGCGUAAAGGGCGCGUAGGCGGUCGUGCCAAGUCACUUGUGAAAGCCCCCGGCUCAACUGGGGAGGGUCACUCGAUACUGAUCGACUUGAAGGUGGGAGAGGGAAGCGGAAUUCCCGGUGUAGUGGUGAAAUGCGUAGAUAUCGGGAGGAACACCAGUGGCGAAGGCGGCUUUCUGGCCCAUUCUUGACGCUGAGGCGCGAAAGCUAGGGUAGCAAACGGG
rnacentral:rRNA from 1 species